AUUGAACGCUGGCGGCAUGCCUUACACAUGCAAGUCGAACGGCAGCAUGGGUGCUUGCACCUGAUGGCGAGUGGCGAACGGGUGAGUAAUGCAUCGGAACGUACCCGGAAGUGGGGGAUAACGUAGCGAAAGUUACGCUAAUACCGCAUACUCUGUGAGCAGGAAAGUGGGGGAUCGCAAGACCUCGCGCUUCCGGAGCGGCCGAUGUCGGAUUAGCUAGUUGGCGGGGUAAAGGCCCACCAAGGCAACGAUCCGUAGCGGGUCUGAGAGGAUGGUCCGCCACACUGGGACUGAGACACGGCCCAGACUCCUACGGGAGGCAGCAGUGGGGAGUUUUGGACAAUGGGGGCAACCCUGAUCCAGCCAUGCAGCGUGAGUGAAGAAGGCCUUCGGGUUGUAAAGCUCUUUCGGCCGGGAAGAAAUCGCACUCUCUAAUACAGGGUGUAGAUGACGGUACCCGCAUAAGAAGCACCGGCUAACUACGUGCCAGCCGCCGCCGUAACAC
rnacentral:rRNA from 1 species